AGUGAACGCUGGCGGUAGGCCUAACACAUGCAAGUCGAACGGCAGCACAGUAAGAGCUUGCUCUUACGGGUGGCGAGUGGCGUACGGGUGAGGAAUACAUCGGAAUCUACUUUUUCGUGGGGGAUAACGUAGGGAAACUUACGCUAAUACCGCAUACGACCUACGGGUGAAAGCAGGGGAUCUUCGGACCUUGCGCGAUUGAAUGAGCCGAUGUCGGAUUAGCUAGUUGGCGGGGUAAAGGCCCACCAAGGCGACGAUCCGUAGCUGGUCUGAGAGGAUGGUCAGCCACACUGGAACUGAGACACGGUCAAGAGUCCUACGGGAGGCAGCAGUGGGGAAUAUUGGACAAUGGGCGCAAGCCUGAUACAGCCAUACCGCGUGGGUGAAGAAGGCCUUCGGGUUGUAAAGACCUUUUGUUGGGAAAGAAAAGCAGCAGGUUAAUACCCCGCUGUUCUGACGGUACCCAAAGAAUAAGCACCGGCUAACUUCGUG
rnacentral:rRNA from 1 species